rnacentral:misc_RNA from 1 species
GUGGAUGUGGUGGUUUCAUUAGUUAGUAUGUGCAGGACUCAUGACAAGGUAAUUGUGCAUGCCAUGGCUGUCAAAUAUGGUGGGAAGUUUGUUGAUUCAUUCCUUAAAGUGUUUGACUUCUUACAGGCCCACUUUCAAACACACAAUGAGAUUAUAAUCCACUUGGUGAAGGAGCUUCAAAAGGCCACAAGAACAAUACAGACACUAUGCUCUGAAGCAAAG